CGCGUAGGCGGCUAUUUAAGUCUGAUGUGAAAUCCCCGGGCUCAACCUGGGAAUGGCAUCGGAUACUGGGUAGCUAGAGUGCAGUAGAGGAAGGGUGGAAUUCCAGGUGUAGCGGUGAAAUGCGUAGAGAUCUGGAGGAACACCAGUGGCGAAGGCGGCCUUCUGGACUGACACUGACGCUGAGGUGCGAAAGCGUGGGGAUCAAACA
rnacentral:rRNA from 1 species